UGCAGCCAUGUGGAAAUCACUAUUCACAAUAGCCAAGUUAUGGAAUUGACCUACGUGCCCAUCAACAGAAGAAUGGAUAAAGAAGAUGUGGCAUCACCCACAGAGCCAAAGAAUCUGGACAAAGGACCAGGACAGUCUCUCAGGCUCCCAACCUGGAAGGACCAC